rnacentral:rRNA from 1 species
AGAGUUUGAUCAUGGCUCAGGACGAACGCUGGCGGCGUGCUUAACACAUGCAAGUCGAACGGAAAGGCCCUUCGGGGUACUCGAGUGGCGAACGGGUGAGUAACACGUGGGUGAUCUGCCCUGCACUUUGGGAUAAGCCUGGGAAACUGGGUCUAAUACCGAAUAUGACCACGCUCUUCAUGGGGUGUGGUGGAAAGCUUUUGCGGUGUGGGAUGGGCCCGCGGCCUAUCAGCUUGUUGGUGGGGUAAUGGCCUACCAAGGCGACGACGGGUAGCCGGCCUGAGAGGGUGACCGGCCACACUGGGACUGAGAUACGGCCCAGACUCCUACGGGAGGCAGCAGUGGGGAAUAUUGCACAAUGGGCGCAAGCCUGAUGCAGCGACGCCGCGUGAGGGAUGACGGCCUUCGGGUUGUAAACCUCUUUCACCAGGGACGAAGCGCAAGUGACGGUACUUGGAGAAGAAGCACCGGCCAACUACGUGCCAGCAGCCGCGGUAAUACGUAGGGUGCGAGCGUUGUCCGGAAUUACUGGGCGUAAAGAGCUCGUAGGUGGUUUGUCGCGUUGUUCGUGAAAACUCACAGCUUAACUGUGGGCGUGCGGGCGAUACGGGCAGACUAGAGUACUGCAGGGGAGACUGGAAUUCCUGGUGUAGCGGUGGAAUGCGCAGAUAUCAGGAGGAACACCGGUGGCGAAGGCGGGUCUCUGGGCAGUAACUGACGCUGAGGAGCGAAAGCGUGGGGAGCGAACAGGAUUAGAUACCCUGGUAGUCCAA